UACGUAGGGGGCAAGCGUUAUCCGGAAUUACUGGGUGUAAAGGGGGCGUAGACGGUAAUGUAAGUCUGGAGUGAAAGGCGGGGGCCCAACCCCCGGACUGCUCUGGAAACUAUGUUACUAGAGUGCAGGUGAGGUAAGCGGAAUUCCUAGUGUAGCGGUGAAAUGCGUAGAUAUUAGGAGGAACACCAGUGGCGAAGGCGGCUUACUGGACUGUAACUGACGUUGAGGCUCGAAAGCGUGGGGAGCAAACAGG
rnacentral:rRNA from 1 species